rnacentral:lncRNA from 1 species
GGCUCAGAAAGGGCGGUUGGCGGUUGUAGUCUCCCGCGCCUUUCCACACGCCCAGCUCAGCCUGGGGUGUUACAUAGCGACCUCCUUCUGCAAGUCUGAAUCCUUCUUCCGCCUUCCGUGCCCCGAUCCUCAGAGCAAAUGAAGCAGCUGCAGCGAUGACAAAUGCCACCUCCUCAGAGGUCCGGGUUCCGGCUCUGCAGGAGAAAAUGUUAUUCAAGUCAGAAGAAAAUGAAAAUGAAGGAGCAUCUUCUUCAAUGCGAUGGACAUAGUCCUAGACACACAGGAGGCAGAGCUACCAAAUACAAGCAAGUCCACACCCAUUUCAUUACCAAGAGGAAACAACUUUUUUUUAAAAUAAAAGAAGACAAUAUAUUUGAAGAUAGGGAAGGAG